GGCGCAAACUUGAAGUAGAGUAGAUUAGUAUGGUCAGCUGAUCCUACCAAUCUACCGCUUCGAAUUUGUGCCC
rfam:Haemonchus contortus, ISE/inbred ISE, WGS project CAVP01000000 data, contig: Hcontortus_11882